UUUUACCAGGUGUGUGUUUUCCCUGGGGAAAUCAGAUACCUCAGACCCAGAGUGACGGCUGCGGACCUGUCCCACCUCUGGUCUGACCAGUGAAGACUCAGGCACACCCAGGAGGCUUCCUCCUACAGCUUCGGCAGCAGCACCGCCAGAGAGGUGGCGAGCCGCUCAUCUGUGGGGACAUGUAACCAAGACUAUCUGGCCAAGGGCAGGAACAUGUGUAGGACACGCUGUCUCUGGAUGGGAAGUUAGCGCGGAGAACCUCGUCCUAGUGUUAUAACUGCACAGGGCAUCCGGCAGCUUCUCAAGGUGGGGCCCAUGUGAGACCUACGCUCCAUUCCCGUGCUGAGCACGGGACUCUGGGCACAGGGGAGGGGCUCGGCGACAGUCUUUUAGCGGAAGAAAAGAAACACAGAGAGUAGGGAGGGGAAAAUAAUUGCAAUUUGACAUGGGAUGCGAGAGAGGGAUUCCUGAGCCGUCCCGAAGCAGGUGAUGUGUCAGAGGAGCCAGGAGCCACAGUCCACCUCAACUGCAGGAAAAAAGCAGCGGCUAACAUUUAUUGAGCGCCUACUGUGUGCUAUAGGUUCACACAGGGGUCACAGUUCUCCCAACAAUCGGACUGUUCUUAAGCCCGUUUUAUGAGGGAGGCAGUUGAGAUUUCACAGAGGAGAGGUUACCCACCCUGGGCCUCCCAGCUCGCGGGAGGUGGUGCGGGAGGCGGUGCGGGAGGCGGUGCGGGAGGCAGUGUGACUGGGUUGAGCACUGGCCUGGCUCACCGCACAGCCCAUCCUUUAGGGCAACAACAGGCCCAGGCUUUCAUAACUAGUGGCUGCUCUACCUCCCGGGAGGUGAAGAAAGUUCAAGUUCAGGUUCACUUUCUGCAUCUUGUCCCUCCUGUGUUACACAAGGAACUCCACCAGCACAGAUGGAGCAAUUCAGAAACCUCGUUUUAGGGAGAUUUUAACUUCAAAUCAACUCAAUUAAGCCGACCUCAUCGGAGAGAGGCAAGCCAGCUUCAGCCACCUGGAGGACUCGGUGUGUGCAGGACGACGCUUCCCUGUGAUGAGCAAGCAUGGGCACCUUUUCUCAUUUCUCCCAGCCUGGGCUGGUCGGCCGAGCAUGCUCCAUCCAGCAAAGCGAUGAAGUUCAGUGAAGGCUGGGUGCCAGGGGUGACAUUUCACGGGAACAUGUGGAGAAACGUCCACUCUGAAGAGGCAGGAAGGUGUUCUGGGAAUAGAGCCCGUGAGUCGGGAGCAUCUGUGUUCCGUCCCCAGCUCUGCCACGUGUGUGCUAAGCGCCGUCUUCAGGUGAGCACCCUGGGUGCAGGGGGCUCAGCUUCCACCUGCGGGGUCCUCUGAGGAGCCGGACGGUGGGAGAGUUCAAGAGGAGAUCUGACACGUACCAGGUGCUCAAUAAAAAAAUGUCCUCGGCUGUCACAGUUAUCAUUUGACGUGAAGGCUCAGGUACAGAUUGACUACUUUUAAUAUAAGUACCUUUUAUCUCUUCUCAUUACGAAGGUGAUAGGCACUGUUGUAGAAAACUUGGAGAAUUCGGAGGGAGGGAGGAAGCGUUUCCCUCUUAGUCUCUUUAUUCCAAAGCCUUCGGCCAGUGAUUUCAGUUUGUUUCUUUAC